rnacentral:rRNA from 1 species
GGGUGUGAUCAUACCAGCGUUAAUGCACCGAAUCCCAUAAGAACUCAGCAAUUAAGCAUGCUUGGGAUAGAGUAGUACUGGGAUGGGUGACCUCUCGAGAAGUCCUAGUGUUUCACCCU